rnacentral:rRNA from 1 species
GGCUCAGAUUGAACGCUGGCGGCAGGCUUAACACAUGCAAGUCGAGCGGUAGAGAGAAGCUUGCUUCUCUUGUGAGCGGCGGACGGGUGAGUAAUGCCUAGGAAUCUGCCUGGUAGUGGGGGAUAACGUUUGGAAACGAACGCUAAUACCGCAUACGUCCUACGGGAGAAAGCAGGGGACCUUCGGGCCUUGCGCUAUCAGAUGAGCCUAGGUCGGAUUAGCUAGUUGGUGAGGUAAUGGCUCACCAAGGCGACGAUCCGUAACUGGUCUGAGAGGAUGAUCAGUCACACUGGAACUGAGACACGGUCCAGACUCCUACGGGAGGCAGCAGUGGGGAAUAUUGGACAAUGGGCGAAAGCCUGAUCCAGCCAUGCCGCGUGUGUGAAGAAGG